rnacentral:ncRNA from 1 species
GUCGGGAGGGCGGCUAAUACAACACCUCGCAAGAGGAAAUACGCCCGCCGACUACUUGCGGCUUCUAACCUCCCGACACCCUUGC